rnacentral:rRNA from 1 species
UACGUAGGGUGCGAGCGUUGUCCGGAAUUAUUGGGCGUAAAGAGCUCGUAGGCGGUGUGUCACGUCGGCCGUGAAAACCUGGGGCUUAACUCUGGGCGUGCGGUCGAUACGGGCAUCACUAGAGUUCGGCAGGGGAGACUGGAAUUCCUGGUGUAGCGGUGAAAUGCGCAGAUAUCAGGAGGAACACCGGUGGCGAAGGCGGGAUCUCUGGGCCGAUGACUGACGCUGGAGGAGCGAAAGCAUGGGUAGCGAACAGGA